rnacentral:sRNA from 1 species
AUUCUGCCCAAGCGUGGAAGGAUGAGAAGCUUCGACCAAGGUUCGACUUGAGCGCCAGCGAGAGAGCGUUGCCGCAGGCAACGACCCGAAGGGCGAAGCGCGCAGCGCUGAGUAAUCCUUCCCCCACCACCA